UGACGGUACCGAAAGAAUAAGCACCGGCUAACUCCGUGCCAGCAGCCGCGGUAAUACGUAGGGUGCAAGCGUUAAUCGGAAUUACUGGGCGUAAAGCGUGCGCAGGUGGUUNUUUAAGUCAGAUGUGAAAUCCCCGGGCUCAACCUGGGAACUGCAUUNGANACUGNNNGGCUAGAGUGNGGUAGAGGGGGGUGGAAUUCCNNGUGUAGCAGUGAAAUGCGUAGAUAUNNGGAGGAACACCGAUGGCGAAGGCAGCCCCCUGGACCGAUACUGACNCUCAGGCACGAAAGCGUGGGGAGCAAA
rnacentral:rRNA from 1 species